rnacentral:rRNA from 1 species
GCNGGNGGGUGCUUACCAUGCAGUCGAACGGUGAACACGGAGCUUGCUCUGUGGGAUCAGUGGCGAACGGGUGAGUAACACGUGAGCAACCUGCCCCUGACUCUGGGAUAAGCGCUGGAAACGGCGUCUAAUACUGGAUAUGUGACGUGAUCGCAUGGUCUGCGUCUGGAAAGAAUUUCGGUUGGGGAUGGGCUCGCGGCCUAUCAGCUUGUUGGUGAGGUAAUGGCUCACCAAGGCGUCGACGGGUAGCCGGCCUGAGAGGGUGACCGGCCACACUGGGACUGAGACACGGCCCAGACUCCUACGGGAGGCAGCAGUGGGGAAUAUUGCACAAUGGGCGCAAGCCUGAUGCAGCAACGCCGCGUGAGGGAUGACGGCCUUCGGGUUGUAAACCUCUUUUAGCAGGGAAGAAGCGAAAGUGACGGUACCUGCAGAAAAAGCGCCGGCUAACUACGUGCCAGCAGCCGCGGUAAUACGUAGGGCGCAAGCGUUAUCCGGAAUUAUUGGGCGUAAAGAGCUCGUAGGCGGUUUGUCGCGUCUGCUGUGAAAUCCGGAGGCUCAACCUCCGGCCUGCAGUGGGUACGGGCAGACUAGAGUGCGGUAGGGGAGAUUGGAAUUCCUGGUGUAGCGGUGGAAUGCGCAGAUAUCAGGAGGAACACCGAUGGCGAAGGCAGAUCUCUGGGCCGUAACUGACGCUGAGGAGCGAAAGGGUGGGGAGCAAACAGGCUUAGAUACCCUGGUAGUCCACCCCGUAAACGUUGGGAACUAGUUGUGGGGUCCAUUCCACGGAUUCCGUGACGCAGCUAACGCAUUAAGUUCCCCGCCUGGGGGAGUACGGCCGCAAGGCUAAAACUCAAAGGAAUUGACGGGGACCCGCACAAGCGGCGGAGCAUGCGGAUUAAUUCGAUGCAACGCGAAGAACCUUACCAAGGCUUGACAUAUACGAGAACGGGCCAGAAAUGGUCAACUCUUUGGACACUCGUAAACAGGUGGUUGCAUGGUUGUCGUCAGCUCGUGUCGUGAGAUGUUGGGUUAAGUCCCGCAACGAGCGCAACCCUCGUUCUAUGUUGGCCAGCACGUAAUGGUGGAACUCAUGGGAUACUGCCGGGUCACUCGAGAAGGUGGGGAUGACGUCAAUCAUCAUGCCCCUUAUGUCUUGNNNUUCACGCCAUGCUACAAUGNCGUACAAGGGCUGCAAUACCGGCNGGUGACGAAUCCAAAAAGGCCGNNNCCAA